ensembl:rRNA 5S_rRNA 5S ribosomal RNA
GGCAGCAGCCAUAUCACCCUGCCACACACAACUGGCAACUCACUGAAGCUAAACAGAUGUGAGCCUGGUCAGUACCAUGAUGGGAGACCUCCUGGGAAAAACUAAGGUUGCUGCUGGAA